rnacentral:tRNA from 1 species
GGGCUGGGACUCAGUGGUAGAGCGCUUGCCUAGCAUGUGUGAUGCACUGGGUUCGAUUCUCAGCAUUUCA